rfam:Gorilla gorilla gorilla genomic chromosome, chr17, whole genome shotgun sequence
GGCUGGUCUGAGUGCAAUGGUGUUUAAACUAACUGAUCGCAAUGUUAUGGAUUUCUUUGUUCCUCCUCCACUCUCAUUGCUUCACUUGACUAGCCUUCA